UACGAAGGGGGCUAGCGUUGUUCGGAAUUACUGGGCGUAAAGCGUGCGCAGGCGGCUUCUCAAGUCAGGGGUGAAAGCCCAGAGCUCAACUCUGGAAUUGCCUUUGAGACUGAGUGGCUUGAGUACGGGAGAGGUGAGUGGAAUUCCGGAGUGAUAGAGGUGAAAUUCGUAGAUAUUCGGAAGAACACCAGUGGCGAAGGCGGCUCCACUGGCCCGUU
rnacentral:rRNA from 1 species